ensembl:lncRNA
AUUAAAUUUUUAAAAUAAAUUUAGUGCCUGGUCCAUAUUUGGAAUUCAGUUAACUUUUGUGGAAUAAGUGAAUGAAUGGGUGGGGUCCUAGUUGACCAACCUUUGUCUUAGUAGAUUAAGAUUCAUCUACUUAACAGGCAGGAACAAGACAAGAGUUUCAUGAAGAGCCUCAUGAAGCUAUAUAAGUCUGUGAUGGAGAACUGAUGCCAGCAGUGUCAGGAAUAUCACAAAGGGUACCAGUCCAAUGGGGCACAGGGUUACUAUAGUUCUGACAUGAUCCUGCACUUCUCAAGUGUGGAAUUAUGCUUCUAACAAAGCCAAGGACUACAGGAAGAUAUCUGAUGAACUUUAACGUUCCUUUGGGCCUUUUUUAUGAUCAUUUUGAAGAUGCUUCAUUACUGCUACAUAACAUUAAGUAUCAUUAUUGAUUGGUCUGUGCUAUUACCUUACUUGCUAUUAAAUAUUGUAAAUAUCACCCCUGCCACCAUGAGAUCAGCUUUCAGUUCAGAUACCAUUUGGAAAUGGCUCUUCCCAUGAAGAGUUUAUAAUGAUCCUCCAUUCCUCCCAACAUGAUGGAGAGAAAGGCACAAGUGCCCAGUUCAGUGAGAAGUGUUGCUCAGUUGAAAAACAGGCAGGUAUCAUUUCCAGGGCAAUAAAUAUAUAGGUAGCAGUGGUUUUACAAGAUGAAAAUUCCUAUAGACAUCUAUUGCUAAAUGUUGUUCUUGUAUAUGUUUUGGGGAACUGUAUAAGCUGAGAUUGAGAAGUGAGGAUCCAGACACAGAGAAGGGAUCAAUUCCCAAAGAGAAAAGAACAGCAUGGAAAACAGAAGCCAGAUGAAGAGGAAUUCAGGAACUAUGCUGAGGCAUGGAAUGUUCUUCUGGGCUACUAUUUCCUUCAAUCAAGUUAAUUUUCAUGCAUUCUUACAACCACGUGGACUCUGAUAUCUACCAGGACACCUGAGAAGACCCUGUCUCCUGGUUUUCUUGCUUUCACCAGCCUUACAAGUAUUUACAGCAUAAAAUAUCUAUGGUAAUAUUUUAGAAUAUACCUUAAACAAACUGAAACUGCUAUCAUAUAUGGAGACCUGCACCUAUGACUCUCUUUAAAUAGAAAUAUCGUGAAUUGGUAUAGCUGAGGAUAAAAACCUAAUGACAUACAAAUAUUCAUUUUUCCUUUGAAAAGGUAUUGUCAAAA